UCAGCCUCCUACAGCACUCUGCCAGCCAAAAUGGGGCAUGGGAGUUAAUUACAAAAUGUGGGCUUUGCUUUGUGAUCCAGCGAGUAAGGGGUGUGAACUGCAGAGAAAAUAUACUUUUUUUUGGUUAUGAAGAAAUAUCUCCAGUCAGAUGUACACUAAAUGUAGACUGACUUUUAGCUACACACCUCCCCAGCAAACAGCAAAAUUUGAAGCUCCAGCAGGUUGCGAAAAGCACUGACAGAAUUAGAUUCUUUGAUGUUGCUUACUUCUCAAACGUAUUCCCGCAGGUGCAGGAUCCGCUUUUCAGAUCAUUGAACGCCACUUUGCACAGUCAGCUGCGUCUCCAGGGCGCAGGCCCACGGUUUCAACCAUCUUGGUUGAUGGUGUCUUGCCACCUCUGUUUUGGAUGCUCGCAAGUUCACCAGCAAUUAAUUCCUAGUUGGUAGGCAGUCUUGGCAAUGGUGGAAGGUGCUACUCUCUGAACAUGUCCAUACCAGCGGAGCUGGACUUCUCUCAUCUUCGAAAAUUUCCAGUUUCCAAUUGAUAACUUUUUGCUUUUAAUUAUAUUUUUUCCUUCAAAAUAAAGAUGGAAAUAGGA